rnacentral:rRNA from 1 species
UACGAAGGUGGCAAGCGUUACUCGGAAUUACUAGGCGUAAAGGGCAGGUAGGUGGUUUGAUAAGUCUGUUGUGAAAGCUCCUGGCUUAACUGGGAGAGGUCAACAGAAACUAUCAGGCUCGAGUAUGGGAGAGGGUACUGGAAUUCCCGGUGUAGCGGUGAAAUGCGCAGAGAUCGGGAGGAACACCAAUGGCGAAAGCAGGUACCUGGACCAUUACUGACACUCAACUGCGAAAGCUAGGGGAGCAAACAGG